GGUCUCCAGGGAAGAUCCUACCUUGCCUCUUCUCACUCAUUAGAGGCCCAGAAUCAAGAGUCAUGUAAAGCCAGACCUUGUUUUAAAAAAAAUAAAGAAAGAAAGAAGAAGAAGGAAAAAAAAAAGAAAGAAAAAGCCAAGCCUGGGUUUAUUUCUCUAUUACCUGUGACUUGAAUAAGAAAAGACAGAGCUUUACCUCUUCUCUGCUGCUUUCUUUCUCAGUUCUUGCUGUGGCCAAAGAGCUGCACGGAUUCCAGAGUCUUUGUCAUUUCGGGAUAAACCCAGCAGAAGAAGAACUCCAUCAGGCAGUUCCCACACCAGAGCGAAGUUGCAGAGUACUUUUUGCAGCGAACUUGGUAGAGUACUUUUGGUCACAUCCUAUCCUUCAACCUAUCACUGUGACCAGGAAUGGAUGAUGUGCUGAAUGACUUACAGUGAUUUAAAGACUGAGACCAAAGAUAGGGUGGAAGCCCAGAUGAAAUUUUAGGGUUGUUGAAGAAGGGAGGCUGGAUGUUGGCAAAGCAAGUGCUAAACAUCCAUUGGAGGCCAAUGCAUUUUAAACAGUUGUCUAAAACGCCCUUGCUAUAACUAGGACUUGAACUAAUUAUAAGAAAAUUUUAUAGAAUGGAAGCACAGACGGAUGACUGGGUGUCUCAGUCGGUCAAGCAU